UACGAAGGGGGGCUAGCGUUGCUCGGAAUCACUGGGCGUAAAGGGUGCGUAGGCGGGUCUUUAAGUCAGAGGUGAAAAGCCUGGAGCUCAACUCCAGAACUGCCUUUGAUACUGAGGAUCUCGAGUUCGGGGAGAGGUGAGUGGAAACUGCGAGUGUAGAGGUGAAAAUUCGUAGAUAUUCGCAAAGAACACCAGUGGCGAAGGCGGCUCACUGGCCCAUUACUGACGCUGAGGCACGAAAGCGUGGGGAGCAAACAGGGA
rnacentral:rRNA from 1 species